rnacentral:lncRNA from 1 species
GAGAGGUGUGGAAAGAGGAGGGUAGAGGGGGUGGCAUAGUUCGAAGGUCUAGAGGUUGGAGGCAUCUAAUGGUAUUGAGGAGUGCUAAGGACUAGAGGAAGAGGGCGAAGGUGAGGCGACAGCAGAAGAGAGAGAGGUGGUGGGCAGCGAGGAGAAGGAGGUCGGUGGCAACGAUAGAGAGGCAUUGGAAGAGGGCAGAGGGGGC